rnacentral:lncRNA from 1 species
GAGUGACUUCAGCUUGAAUCCAGGACUUGCUUUUCCAGGGCAUCAAGAACGCAGUGCUGUCUAACCUGUCUGGAGAUGAUGAGUAACUGAUAGGUAACUGAUGGAUAACUGACCAGCUACUGAUUAACCACAGUGGGGCUGCAGUGAGGUCGGAGACCGUGACCCCUGUGGCCACAGAGAUGGAAACUAAACCCCAUCCCACGAAAAGCCUGAAGUCUAAAGCCAUGUUCCCAGAGAUUCAGCUCAGCCAGGCACUAAGAGGAUGGUCAGCCUGGUCCACAGCGCCAUCUCGUGGCAAGAACGGGCAUCGCAGAAGGGCCGCGCCCUCUGAUCUUCCCAGAGGACCAACCAGACUGUGAGUUAACGAGAUCUGAAGACUGGGCCUGUCAACUACAGUCGUCUCAAAAUAGUGAUGAGUCCAGAUGAUAUUUUGAGAUAAGUGCCUCAAUUGUAACAUGCCAUGAAAGUAGCUGUGAUUUCUGUUGGAGGAAAGAAAACAUCUCAGGCGAUGCUAAUACUCCAGGGCACUCUGCCUAGAUUUGUAAUUGAAUCAACUGCUAAACUGCAGCGAGAGGUGCCUGCCCCGAUGGGAAGAGAGUGCGAGAGUGGCCUCUCUUAUUAUUCCACAGGCAUUUCUUGAGCAUGUUAUAUCCUAGCAGCCCUGAGGAUAAACAGGUGAUCUUAGCAUCACCUCAGAGCCUGUGUCCCAGAGAACAACACCC